UACGGAGGGUGCGAGCGUUGUCCGGAAUCACUGGGCGUAAAGGGCGCGUAGGUGGCCUGUGGAAGUCUGCGGUGAAAGCCCGGCGCUCAACGCCGGGUCGGCCGUGGAUACUCUCGGGCUCGAGCUUACUAGAGGCAGAUGGAAUUCCUGGUGUAGCGGUGGAAUGCGCAGAUAUCAGGAGGAACACCGGUGGCGAAGGCGGGUCUCUGGGCAGUAACUGACGCUGAGGAGCGAAAGCAUGGGGAGCGAACAGG
rnacentral:rRNA from 1 species